rnacentral:rRNA from 1 species
UUUAAUGACUGGCGGCGGCUUACACAUGCAAGUCGAGCGGAAACGAUGAUAGCUUGCUAUCAGGCGUCGAGCGGCGGACGGGUGAGUAAUACUUAGGAAUCUACCUAGUAGUGGGGGAUAGCUCGGGGAAACUCGAAUUAAUACCGCAUACGACCUACGGGAGAAAGGGGGCAACUUGUUGCUCUCGCUAUUAGAUGAGCCUAAGUCGGAUUAGCUAGAUGGUGGGGUAAAGGCCUACCAUGGCGACGAUCUGUAGCUGGUCUGAGAGGAUGAUCAGCCACACCGGGACUGAGACACGGCCCGGACUCCUACGGGAGGCAGCAGUGGGGAAUAUUGGACAAUGGGGGCAACCCUGAUCCAGCCAUGCCGCGUGUGUGAAGAAGGCCUUUUGGUUGUAAAGCACUUUAAGCAGUGAAGAAGACUCCAUGGUUAAUACCCAUGGACGAUGACAUUAGCUGCAGAAUAAGCACCGGCUAACUCUGUGCCAGCAGCCGCGGUAAU